ACCACAGGGUAUUAAAGUGAGAAAGUGCGAAACCACAAGGUACUAACUUGAUACACUUUAAACCACAGAGUACUAAAGUGAGAAAGUGCAAAACCACAGGGGGGAUAUUUGAAGUUUUUCCUUUAAAUUAGUAGAUGUGGAUUUAUGAAUGAAACAUUAUAAUCUUAUGAUUGAUUGAAUGUGAUAUUGUGAAGUGGUGAAUGUAUAUGGGUUAUAUAUAUACUAUGGUUGUAUCUUGUACUUGUGCGACGCUGUGCAAAUACAGAAUA
rnacentral:lncRNA from 1 species